rnacentral:rRNA from 1 species
CGUGCAGGCGGUUUGGUAAGUUGGAUGUGAAAGCUCCCGGCUUAACUGGGAGAGGUCGUUCAAUACUACCAGACUAGAGGAUGGGAGAGGGAGGUGGAAUUCCGGGUGUAGGUGGUGAAAUGCGUAGAUAUCCGGAGGAACACCAGUGGCGAAAGCGGCCUCCUGGCCCAUUUCUGACGCUCAGACGCGAAAGCUAGGGUAGCAAACGGGAUUAGAGACCCCGGUAGUCCUAGCUGUAAACGAUGUAGACUUGGCGUCGGCGGGUUUAAAUCCGUCGGUGCCGCAGCCAACGCGAUAAGUCUACCGCCUGAGGACUACGGCCGCAAGGUUAAA